rnacentral:tRNA from 1 species
GGUUUCGUGGUGUAGUUGGUAAUCAUGUUAGUCUAACACACUGACGGUCUCCGGUUCAAGUCCGGCCGAAGCCA